UUCUCUAGUUUAGCAUGGAAAGUGAUGAUACACCAUGCACCACACAGAUGGCCAUGUUGAGUUUUGAAUACCUAUAUCUGAGGACUUCAAAUUUGUUUUUGUACCAAGUGGAAUGCGAGUAUUUUUAACCACCUUUCAUGUUUUCAGGUAUGAACAUGUGAACUUUGCAGUGCUGUUGGUGACAUAAUUUCAUUAGUGUACCUAUUCACAGAAGAGUAGGCUGUGCUGCAAGGCAAGCAAGGUUGUGUGCGCGCUGCAUGAUGUGGAGGUGUGACAAGCCUAAGAACCGAACCGUCUGCAGUUGACAUAAAGUAUGAAUGAGCAUUGCAGCUGCUGCUGCUAGGAAAAGAAGCUUAACAUGUAUCUGCCGGGCCACGCCUAUAGCUGUCAUAAACACACAUGCUGGCAAAGAUAUAGCUGUAGUGCUGCACUAGAGUGCGGCGAGCAGAAAAUUCUGCAAUGUGGGUGAAUGGUUGCCAGAAGUCACUGGAGUCAGUGACACAGAUUUCUGAUGCCGUCAUUGAAAGGUUAACAGUAUACUAGUCUUGACAUGCCUACGAAGGACUAAGCGGAUGUGCUGGAUAGUAAGCAAGAGUACAUCAGUUUGUUGUGCAGCAGAGCCUACAAACAUCCAGUUGUCCAGAGCUUCUCCAUAAAAUCCAAGCAUUGUAAACCUUCAUAAACCUGUGCAUAUUGUGCAGACUUCAGCUAUGGACUUGCAUUGCAGUAUUGCCGGUGAAAUUAGCUCCCCUGUGUAUCUAGACUGACAUGCCUACAAAUGACUAAAAAGGUUUAUGCUGGAAGGCAAGCAAGGUUACAUCUAUCAGUUAAAAAUGCUGUUGAAUGUGGGAACCUCCUGUUGCAGGAGGAAUGCACAUUUGGCAAAACUGCAAGGCACUGUAAACUUUCUGCAAGUUUGGCAAGGUAUGAAUGAGCAUUGCAGUUGAAUUAAGAUCACUGGUGUACCUUGACUGUUAUCCUAACACAAACAGAAGGCAGUGCUGCAUGGUCACAGGAUCCAUAUAACAUGCUUUGUAGAGCCUGUGAAGAGCCUGUGAACACCAUUGUCAAGGGAUGCAUGUGUGGCAAAGCAUGAGCCACUGAAUCUUCAUCUAUCGAUUUGGUCACUUCUCCGAUCAUUAGAAGAACCUGAGGAAGCAGAGGAGAGCUCAGACAAAAGGAUUUGUUAGCUGCACCAGCAUCUUUGCUGCAACUGCCAUGGAGGAUAACCAGCCAUGUAACCUGUGGAGGCAGCAUGUGGCCUGGAUUCAUGCUCUCCAUUCUCUCACUUUACCCUCAUAAAUUAUGGUGAGGUCCAAGAAAUCGACAAUUUUUUUGUAUACUUAUAAUAAAUAUUAUACUGUG